UAUGGAGAGCAGUGCCUGGGCUUUGUUGGUGCCAGCAGCUCCUUCAGUACUGGCUGUCCAGAGCCUCAUGUUCAGUAUGGCUUUCAGACAGGCUUCUGCAUGCAUAGCACUGCCAGCCUAUUCACUCACUCACUCCUGCAGCUGUGUCUUUAUCAAUCCCACCUGGGAAGGAGAGGGAUCAAAAUGGUGAUGAAAAGACAAGACUUUUUACCUGUGAGCUAAAGUGAAGUGUGAUGGGAAGCACUCACCUGUCUGCAUCAAAUAACUGUUGUUACAGCAUCAAGCUUUUUGCAUGUUGUGCAAACUGACUAAUAGCAGCAGGUUGAUAUAUUUUUUAUAAUGUGCUUACUAUAUCCUGUAUACUCCAGGAAAAAAACAGGAAUAUAUUUUAUAAUGUUGGGGACUAUUUUGAAGAAUUACAGUUAGAGCACUAUAAUUUCCCUGCAAUUUCCCAGUAUAAAUCAUCUCCUCUAUCUUUGAUACCUGUGGUUUUUUCUGACCCUCUCACGUUUCUGUUUUUGCAAUACUGCAGUAUGUGAAACACUUGUUAUUACAAGCAAUGAUGAUACUGAAGAAAUAACAAGAUUCUACAGCAUAAAUAGUUUUGUCAAUAGUGUGAGAAUAAACAAAGCCAGCCAGUGUAUCUUUGGACAGACUUUUUCUGAGUAUCAGCAUUAUGAACAUUUAAAGAUGGCUUAGAGUGUGUAUGUGUGUAACAUAUAAAUUGAAGAGCUUACAGGCAGGGAAACUGAGGGAAAGAGAUGUGCAAGAUCCUGAUGUGCAAGUUAAGUCUAUGGGAUCAGUCUGGUUUCUUAACUGUUUCAAAUUAAAAGAUGGGUAUUGUGAGUUAAGAUUAUAAAAAUCUUCUGGACUCUUGUAGCUUUAUGGCAAUAGUUUCUUGACAAGCCACUGAGGAAGAAGUAAUGCAUGCCAUGUGCUUUCUUUGGAGACUUCUGUCUAACCCAUUCAGACAUCCCCAGAGAGAAAAAUCAUGUCAAAAUGUGGAGAAGGGUAAGAGAUGCACUAUCAGAAGAUGACCAACAGCAUCGCUAUAAGCAGACCAGCCUUCUAGAUAGCAAAACACUGGGAGGACUUGCAGACCACAGCUAAUUGUGUAUGACAAUGAAUCUGGCAUCCUAGGUGGGAAGCAGUCCAUGUGGAAGCAGAAAACUGUGUUAGAAGCAAACAAUACAGAAGUUACUGUCACAUAAGAUACUUACUGGGGAAAAACUGAAAAUGGACAGAGAACCUGCAGCAAGCAAGCUGGUCUACUCGUUAAGAGACAGACUAACCAGCAGUUAGCUCAGAAGUAUCAUAUUGAGGAAAGAUAGUCCAAAAUGGAGGUUCAGAAGCCUACCCUGACAGUGGUCAUGGCUUGCUUCAGCUAAAGCUGUGCUUUAUAUAAAACAAAAGAAAGAAUAGAA